AAACAGACGUUGAUUUCUUUCAAAUCUUAGGCUAAUAUCUACAAAAUCCACUUCGGAGUCACUCAGUGUGAAUAUUCGAACGCGAUCGGAGUUGAAAAUCAGUUUAGCAGCUAGUAGUACGCAUGAAGAUUUACAAUAUUUGGCCUCUUAUCGCAGCUCGCACCUGGCUGAGGAGUCAAAAUUUUGUCACUGGCGCAUGCGCAUUCUAAGUACCUGGUGUACGUGGAGACACAAGUAUCUACGUUAUUACACAUUCUAAUGUUAUUUGGUGCUUAAAGUUGUUAAGCCGCUAAUAGACGAUGGCGAAUCGACGAAGUUUUAUGUUAUCUCAUGAAAAUUUAGAAGAUCUCUGCAAUCAUUUCAACACUUUGGAUAAAGAUGGCAAUGGAUACUUAGAUGUUAGUGAAUUAAAACAGGCUUUGGAGAUCGUUGGCUUUAAGAUUCCACAAUGGCAAGUUCGCCAAAUGAUUGAUGACAUGGAAAGAGGACACACUGGCAUUAGAAAAGGAGAGUUGUCCUUCGAUGAUUUUCAAAUGAUUUAUAGUGAAUUAAAAUCAAAAGAGGUGACUAAUGUAUUCAAGACUGCUGUAUCAAAACGAGAAAAUUUGCAACAUUUAGGUGGAAUGUCAGAAGCUUCAAGCGAAGGUACAACUCAUUCUGUGAGACAUGAAGAACAAGUAGCCUUUUCAGAUUGGAUUAAUUCAAAUCUAGGAAGAGAUCCUGAUUUGAAACAUUUAUUGCCAAUUGAUAGUGAAGGCAAAGCAUUAUAUGAUAAAUUGAAAGAUGGUAUACUUUUGUGCAAAAUCAUCAAUCAUUCUUGUCCAGACACUAUUGAUGAAAGGGUAAUCAACAAAAAAAACUUAACAUUAUACACAAAGCACGAAAAUUUAACUUUAGCUUUAAAUUCUUCUCAAGCUAUUGGCUGCAAUGUUAUAAAUAUUGAUGCCCAUGAUUUAGCCAAAGGGAAACCUCAUUUGGUGCUGGGAUUACUGUGGCAAAUUAUUAGAAUUGGGCUCUUCAACCAGAUAUCUUUAGAACAUUGCCCUGGACUGGUCCAGUUAGUUAGUAGUGGUGAAGAUAUGUCUGAUCUUAUGAAAUUAUCCCCUGAAAAUAUCCUUCUAAGAUGGGUAAAUUAUCAUUUAGAGCGGGCUGGAUCUCAAAGAAGAAUUACUAAUUUUACAACAGAUAUUAAGGACUCUGAAAUUUACACACAGCUGUUGAAACAAAUUGCUCCAUUAGAUUCUGGUGUUACACUGGAACCAAUGACAAAAUCAGAUUUGUUAGAAAGGGCAGAAGUAAUGCUGAAACAAGCAGAUAAAAUUGGUUGUCGAAGUUUUUUGACACCAAACGAUGUUAUUGAUGGAGUGUACAAGUUAAAUGUAGCUUUUGUGGCCAAUCUUUUCAAUAACCAUCCUGCUUUAGAUCAGCCUGAUGAACCUAUUGAAAUGGUUAGUUUAGAAGAAACACGAGAGGAAAAGACUUAUAGAAAUUGGAUGAAUAGCAUGGGUGUAUCUCCAUAUGUUAAUUGGUUGUACAGUGACCUUACCAAUGGAUUGGUAAUAUUUCAGCUGUAUGAUACAAUUAAACCAGGUAUUGUUGAUUGGAAUCGUGUACACAAAACUUUUAGCAAACUGAAAGCCUUCAUGGAAAAAUUGGAAAAUUGCAAUUAUGCAGUAUUGCUUGGUAAAGAGUUAAAAUUUUCUUUGGUUGGUAUUGCUGGACAUGAUAUUUCUGAAGGAAAUCCUACUCUUACUCUUGCUCAAGGAAGCAGGGAAAGAGACAUACAUAAGAAGCUUUCAGGACUCAUCAAUUUCUACCGCAUUACCUAUUAUUAAUCUAAUUGACAGUAUUCAACCUGGAUCAAUUAAUUACAGUCAAGUACUAACUGCUGACUUACCAGAAGAUAGGAUGGCUAAUGCUAAAUAUGCAAUAUCUAUGGCUAGAAAAAUUGGUGCUAAAAUUUAUGCUUUGCCAGAAGACAUAACUGAAGUUAAGCAGAAGAUGGUUAUGACAGUAUUUGCAUGCUUAAUGGCAAGAGGCUAUAUUCCAAACAUGGGUGAUAAAAUCAUAGAACAAUAAUACCAGUGAUUGUCUUCUGAAAGUUCAGACUUCUGUGACAAUGUAUACAUACUUUUUUUAGAAACAUUAUUUUAAACAUUUGAUCUAAGUCAAAAUAUUUUAAUAUGCCUUAUAUUGUUAUUUUUUAUUGUUUUAAUGUUGUUAAGGGGAGCAAUUGUAAAAGUACUCUCCCAUGAAAGCGUCAAUGAUCACUAUGAAUAUUUUCCUCUUGUGUAUUAUUUUUACUUAGUUAUUAUGGUUAUGUUUUUAAUUUGUUUAUUAUGAUUUAUUUGUAUUUCAUUCACAAAAUAUCUAACAUCGUAUAUUAUCUUAUUCAUUAAAAAUACUCUAAUCUUGCCUUUUCAUUGUAUGUAUUUUUAUAUAUUUCAGUAAUUUUUAAUACUCGUAUAGUUUUAUAUAUUUUGUAAAUUUUAUAAAUGUUUAUGACUUUGUAAAUAUGAUUACAUUUUACUAUUGCUAUUGUGGAA
rnacentral:misc_RNA from 1 species